UACGGAGGGUGCAAGCGUUAUCCAGAUUCACUGGGUUUAAAGGGUGCGUAGGCGGGUAAGUAAGUCCGUGGUGAAAUCUCUGAGCUUAACUCAGAAACUGCCGUGGAUACUAUUUGCCUUGAAUAUUGUGGAGGUGAGCGGAAUAUGUCAUGUAGCGGUGAAAUGCUUAGAUAUGACAUAGAACACCAAUUGCGAAGGCAGCUCACUACACAAUCAUUGACGCUGAGGCACGAAAGCGUGGGGAUCAAACAGG
rnacentral:rRNA from 1 species